CGCGCCGCGGUCUUUCUUUCGCCGUCGGAUUACAGCGACUCGCGCGCGCGGUGCUUGAUCCGACUCGGCUCGCUUCGAUUCCGCGGACGACGACCGAAUUUGCCGCGCGUUUCAUUGCUUUAACCCGAUUGCUGCAUCGGACAGACGUGUGUACGCGUAUCGGACGGGAAACGUCCAAGGACACACGUGUCGAUCGAGAGAGCCCGGCCGCGAGGAGGAACGGUGCCAAGUGGCUGGAUAUUAUUCGUCAACGACGCGGGACACUUCGAAACGUUCCGCGGCCGAAAGGAACGGUUCCGACAUAACCUUAGAUGCGGUGACGUACGCUGACAGCUACGGUGAAUUCUUCUUAAUCGAUUCGCGGCUCGUACACGAAAAUCAACAAUUUGAGAAGAGAAGGCUAUAAUGAUCGUAUCUCCUCUUCCCAGAUUAUACACAAUUUACAUAAAUUUUAAGCACGAGAAAACUUGCUCCGCUGUAUCAAUUAAUUGCGCCGACGUAAUGAUAGUUUGUCGCCGAUAUUUACCGAGAUUCGCUUGACUUUCGAGGUUAAAAAAUGUCCGCAGAUCGGUCGAAAGAAAUACUGCUGAACGAAAAAAAUUUAUUCCACGAAAACUUCCUAACGAUUUGUUCGAAGCAAAAAGACCCGAACUUUGUUAUUUCCGCGGGAAUGUUUUAUAGUCGCUGUCGUACUUGCCGUUGAUGGCAUAGAGGCUCCUUUAGCCUGGUCCGCAGGAGCCGACCUAGUCGAACCAUUCUGCCGACCUCCAGGAGCAGCUUCUCGCGGUCCCCCAAGAUGUCUCUUAUCUCUGCUCGGUCUCGAGAUUCCGCUACUAGAUCGUCCGUCUUCACCGAGCGACGCAGGCAUCCCACCGCCUCGAUUAGGUCGCGCAGCUUCGAACAGUGCUUUUGGACAAAUACAGUGACUCGGAUUUAAUAUUCGGACAACUUUUCAGUGAUCGGACGAAAGGCUAACAACAGUUUCGAAUACUCGGAGGACGAUUUGAGAGGAUAAGGAAUAUCUUGAAAUCACAGUUAUCGCGCAUACAUCCUCGACGCUCCUGUGAAACACGGCGCAAACUCUGAGCCUGGUCAACUGUUCCUGUCCAACGGAUCGCAGCUGCUUCCAAGCCUGGCGUAACUUGGAGAAGAGGGUCGCGUUGGUGUCCAACGGUAGCCUGCAGGACAACCUUAACACCCGAGCGCCAUUUACCAAUUGGCAUCCGUAGUCGUACGUCCCCUGGAAAUUUCAGAGCCAAGAUAAUGAAACCUGUGUGAAACGAAAUCGCCGGUGGAUUAAUUAGCGACAUGGUUCAAAUACUGGCUGCACGUGCCAGGUCUAGGAUUAUGGGAUCCAGGUGUCUGGGACAGGGAUGUGAAGACUUCUGAGACUGGGAAGUACUUGUCGUUGUACUUACAGCGUGGACUAUUGCGCAAAAUAAACGUCCACAUGAAUUACAAUAAGAAGAAGCUAAAUAAAAAUUUCUUUCUUCCUUCGACAAUUUGGAUAACUGGAAAAUAUCGCUGAAAAUAGGACAGCUUCUGCAGUUCCACGCUGUCGUUGAAAAUAUUCUUCCUCGCAUUUGUCGCAUCUAAAAUAUCUCGGACAUUUACUAUGUCCUCGCCGUAGUCGACUCGCACAUCUCGGCCCAGGGCAUCCUUCACAGGCAUCGACAGUAUAUCCGACAAUUUCUCACCUUCCUUCACCAGCUCGCAUUCCAGGGAUUCUAGAAAUUUGCGCACGGUGAACAGAUAUCUGCACGCGUCGCAACAAGAGUUACGUUGACACAAUCACAAAAUUGAGGACGCCG